CAACGCCGCGUGAGGGACGAAGGUUUUCUGAAUUGUAAACCUCUUUCGACGGGGACGAUAAUGACGGUACCUGUAGAAGAAGCACCGGCCAACUAUGUGC
rnacentral:rRNA from 1 species